CCCUUAGAUGUUCUGGGCCGCACGCGCGCUACAAUGGUCUUCGCAAACGGAUGCAUUCUCGAAGGAGAAUGCCAAUCUUGGAAUCUAUGCCUUGGUCGGGACAGUUGCUUGCAAUUUUUCGACUCGAACCAGGAAUUCCUUGUAAUCGUGAUUCAUCACAUCACGAUGAAUACGUCCCUGCCCUUCGUACACACCGCCCGUCGCUCCUACCGAUCGAAGAGUUAGGUGAAUUGUUUUGAUCGAUAAGAUUUGACUAUGGUCAACUCUCGUUGUGAAAUUCUGUGAAUCUGACUGUUUAGAGGAAGGAAAAGUCGUAACA
rnacentral:rRNA from 1 species